AUUCAGUCUACAUACUCUCUCCUGGGUGGCUGUUAGGACAUUCUUUAUGGUUUUAAUCUCCCCUCUCUGGCCAUUCCUUCUCAAUCUCCUUUGAGGGAUCCUUGCCUCAGCUUAGCCCUGAAAUAUAGUCUGCAACUUACCCAAGACUGCAUUCCUGGUGGGCCUCAUGCACACCCAUGGCCUCAACUGUCACUCAUCCAAUGACAAUGAUUCUUCCUGGAAGGAAGCUCCACGAGCCAAUGUUUCCUUUGGGAAAUGGCUUCGUUCCGCCUGUGGACUCACACUGUGGCGUGUCUGCAAACACUGCUGUGGUUUCUGUGGAGCUGUGUGUAUUAGGUCCGACUUCGCUGUUUGCUGGAAUGAGGAGCAGAGACCCCAAACGCACAGGAAGAACAGGCUGGCAUCGCCUCGGCCUGCCUCGUGCUGGAGAAGAGACCACACAGACUUGGCCUGGGUUCAGCAAAUCGCAACUCUUUAAGAUGGAAUAGCUUAGAGUUUAAGACAUAUCAAAAGUGUAAACAUAGUUGCUGACCUGAGUAGUUUUUAUGGGGGGAGGUAAUCCUUUGAGAGAAUUCAUCUAUCUAUACCUUAUGAUUUGUGCAAUUUUCUAUAUGAAUGUUAUGUAUCAAUAAAACAUUUGAAAAUGAAAAGGCAAGGAGCUGUCCAUUCUUUUGGUAAUUCGGGAGAUAGAGGUACAUCCUCAUUCCCUCUCCUCUCACAUUGCGUGAGCAUAGCCUCCC
rnacentral:lncRNA from 1 species